AUUUAUAUAGUUUAUUUAAAACAUUACAUUUUCAUUGUAAAAAUAAAAUAAAUAUUUUUAUAAAUA
rnacentral:tRNA from 1 species